CCUGAUUCUUGAAUUUCCAUUUGUUCCAGAAUCUGAAGACUUCCUUCUAAGCAUCACUUUGGACAGUGUAGGCCACACAAAAAUACUAUGCAGGACAUGAGGUCAGAAGAAUUUUUCAGGUGCUAAUCAAUGGCUUAUAAAAUCCAAUUCUAGAAGGGAAUUGUAAACUUCAAGAACCACAUCUCAACAAACCCCUGAAGGCCAGUCUAGAUCCUGAAGAAGUGACAGGUGUUUACAGAGCUGCUCUGAAAUUAGUCUUCCUUGUUAUCAGCAAGAUGAAGAUCGUGACUAUUUUUUACUUUGGCACACAGAGAAUUAUCUUGUUCCAGCUGUUAGGCCCUCUGCAAGGCCUAAGUACUUUCUGUCAUCACCAUGAGGCCUUUGAUGACACAACAAACUCCUAGAAGCAAAUCUGUCAGCUCUGCAUGGCCCAGUCACAGGCCCUGCUGGCUCCACAGAGGCACUUUUAUAAUGGUUCAAAUUAGGAGCACAGAAGAGGGAUGAGAGGAAAGCUGAUCAUGGAAAGGUAACGACUCUAGCCACAGUCCAAAGAAAUCCUUUGGGGCAGCUGUCAGCCAGGCGCCAUCACACACAUUCAUCUUCCUUCUUUUGCACUUCUUCAUCACUUUCUUUUGGUUGAUUAUUUUUCUUCUUCUUGUAGUUAAUAAUUUAGUUUUGUCACCACCCGCUCCCGGCUUGUCUCUAAGCCUUGGUUGCCCGAACGCUUGCGGUUACGCUUGAGCUUGGAUAAGUCUUUGUCAAAGACUUCACCCGACCUUAAUGCUGAUACCAGGUCAUCAAACUCCCCACUCUCUUCAGAGAUGCUUCCAGCUUUUGCUUUCUUUUGUCGCCUUUCUUUUUCCCUCUGCUCUUUUAGCUGUGGAGAAAGACACAGAGCUUUAGGAUCAGCUAACCAAGAUGCCAGAUCACUAGGUACACUGCCAAGAAGCAGCUAAAAUGCAUCAGCACAGAUUAGGGAAAAAAAAAGCAGGAGCUUAUUUAUAAGGCCAUCACCUGGUGCCAAGAGCAACAGGAAACAAUGUGGGACUUCCCUUCUGCAGAAGGUAGGAGAGAUGAGGAAUGAGUAGCACCGUGUGUCUACCUCCCAAAGCACUAUCACCCUGCAGCAAAGAGGAUGCAUGGGAUCUAUCUGUGCUGCUGCUGUUUUGCACUAAUUUUACAGUAGGAUAGUGCCAGUAAAGUACCUGUGCCAAAUGACCAGCUACAGGUGAUGCUGGCAUAGGUAAUUACCCAGCUUCUGGGACCUGGCUUGCAGUGACCUUAGUGUGCCAGCACCUACCAUGCUGAUUGCACCUAACCUAGUGAGUCUGAAAUGAGUUGGGAUGUGUCUGUACAAAACACAGUCACAAACAACUUUGCACUUGAGGCAUAGCUAGCUAAACUGACAUGCAGAAAGGCUGAAGUCCUGCAAAAGGAGGAAAAGAAGAAAGAAAAGAUCCUAGAAAGCUACAAGCUAAAUAUAUUGCAGAAUGAAAAUUGUCCGAGAUAUCAAAUUAUUAAUAGAAACCCUAUGCACCAAACAGCUCAUGUUUGCAUGGUGGCAGCAUGUUGCACUGCUGGGAAGAUGAAGACACAUUGCCUCAACUCUGGAAAGAGAAACUGAUUAUAAACACAAAGAGCAGAACUGCUGAUUUUACAAAUCAUUGGAUAAGUCCACCUGUCAGUGUGAUGCCCUUGGUCUCCCAAGGGUAGCUCCAAGGAGCUAGGCUAUCCCUUCUACACUGCUCAGAUUCAAACUCAGUAGAAAUGCCAAGGGAUGGUCGUGACUGUCAGGAAGCAGACUGCUUGCUCUGCCCACUAGCUCCACAUUGCAGGAAGACUCUUUCCAUAAGCAAACUGCAGCCUCCCUAAUGGUGUAUUAGCUUAUGAAACCACCCUAGUUCUUUAGCAGCGGGCUUCUGCACUUUCCAGGCUGACUGAGAGGAAACUUGAGCCUAAGCCCUGGCGUUUUAUCCUUGUGUCCAACAGUAAGGCUGCUGGCAUCCUGGUGUUUUACCUCUCUCCUCUUCUGAAAGGCACAAACCAGUGCUUUUGGCACAGCAAACAUUUAAAUCAUCAACUCCCCACAGCAAGGCUUGGGGCCAUGGUGGCAGCCAGGGUUACAGGGCUGGCAGGGGGGAAGGAGGCAAGGGGACUGCCAAACUUCUCAGGCAUCACAGAGGCUGAGGUUAGAGGGGGAGGCUGGUUCACAUGAACCCCUGGGGGAACACACGUCUGUCUCCCAGCAGCAAAAUCCAUGAUGCACAAAAGUUCUCUUGCCACAUCAAAGCUGGAUGCAGCCCCAGUAAUCAAGGCAUUAAGGCUGCCAGAGAGAAAUACUGCCAGUGUGGGCUGCAGCAGGUGCCAGGGCAUUUGCUGUGUCACUGUAUAUUGUCAGAUGACAGGCACACAGCAGAGGAUGAUGGAUUCUGACUGGAAGCUGACCAGCUUGGCAGGAGUGAGGGAAAUCUGGCUUCUUCACUUUCAGCCCAAAAGCAGAAUACUCUGGCAUGGGGCAGGGGCAACACCAUUCUGCAAAGUGCCAGGGCAGAACUACUUGGGCUAGAUUUGGUAUCUGAAUACAAAAGAGGGUAAUUUAGGAGCCAAACAGUAUGUCCUUGAGAGCUGACAAGACAGACAGCAGGAAAAAUGUCAUCAUUUGAAAAGAGAAUUAUGCCAAAGAGAGGUAGUUGGGAGAAGAACAUAAAAUACUGACAGUGAUGGCACAUGAGCAUUGAAAUUGGCUCUCUCAGCCUUUUUCUCAAGACAUGAAAAGGCAACAGAAGGAAACACCUUCCUGUGCCCAAAUCCUCACCAUAGCCUCCAUGCGUGCCCUGCGCUCCUCCUCUUCCUUUUUCUUCCUCAUAUUCUCCAGAUCUUGCUUGGCCUCUCCAAAUGACUGUAAGAAAGUGUCGAAGAUGCCAAAAAAUUCAUCUGGCUGCAUCUUGCCCUCGCCCUCUCCAAAAUGCUUCAGUGCCUUGGCAUACUGUCAAGGGGGUAGAAAACAAUAGAGCAAGAAUUAGGCAGGCAGUUUGGUGAAGACAGCAAGGAUAGCUUAUGAGUAACCACACAUGCAAUUCAAUACCCUCUGAACAUUCAUGUGGUGGGAGCAGAAACUACCCCCAGCAACAGAAGCACUUCUCCUUAAGGCAGGUGCCUCUAUCCCUGAAGAAUCUUCUCUCCUGGAUAUCCUUUGGGAGUCAUGGGGCAAUGGUGCUGGAGAGCACUAACUGUCCACUUAUACAAACACCCCUCCAUGUUUAGUGCCUAAGGGUAAUAGAGUUAAUUUCAGAGGACAGCCCUCUGGCCAUAUCUCAGCUGCACCUAUGGGACAGCCAGGGCAUGGAAAACAGUGAGCUAGGUGGGGAAACAAGUAGUUUUAGUCCAUACUUUCCCCUUCCACCUUCCCUUCAAAUCCACUUCUAAAAUGUUUUGAGUUAAAGGGGUUUUUACAAUAAAAUUACAGUCUGUCCUCUCAGAAACCUUUUGCCAUGUCAUCCAUCUCUCUGGAGUCCUCUGAGUCAGGGUGUUGCUUGGGAGAGAGGAGACUAUAGACAGACAAGGCAUGAGAGAGGGGCAAGGAAAGCAGCCAGGGCUCCCGGGCAGACUUAAAAGACAGUGAAUACAUCACAAGUGGUUUUUAUUUUAAAAGGCAAAUGUUGAGGCUGCAGGAUACAUUUUGAGGCAGCCAACUGGCAGGACUUCAGUCACAGGGCAGUUCUGAUGGGAUAAAUUCACAGCAAUCCCUGGCUCUUGGGCAUCAGUCCUGCAGGAGUUGUACUCUCUUCUUUGCACACUCACACUUAGAAGCAUGCCUUGUUACUCACUGAAAUGCACUCAAAUCCCUGCACAUACAGUCUGUCAACAGCAUGUACACACACAGCCACUAAGUGCUACAUAAGGACACACAUCCAAAAGCUGUAACAUCGUCCAGCUGCCUUCACUCACACACCUCUGUACUGCAACAGGCAGCACGAGAAAUACAUUCCUGAAGGUAUUUGUGUCCUGAUGCACGGCUGUCCUACCUUGCACUUUGGCACACCACCACUGAGCAGCUGAGCAUCCUUACAAACCUCAACAUUUACCAAACCAAACCCAGACUCUCCCAGGCUAUAGUCUGCCUUCAAACUCUCUCAAGGUCAUACUAACACAGCGUAGUUUCCCCCUUUCCUUAUGUGGGUGCUCUUGCAGAAUGAAAGACAGUAAGAAUCGUUCACGCUCCAAUCCCAAACACAAAAUGAGUUUGGAAGCAGGUUUCAUAAACCCCUCUGGCCCUGUACCAGGUAAAGCAUAAACAAUGUCUCCCUUUCAACUGGGAAGAAAUGUCCAAGGAAAGCAGCUUCCUUCUGGCACGGCCUGAGAGAUUCAGCAUCUCUCCUUCUCUGCUUUCCCUGCCAGGCCCACAAAGUUUGAAGCAAUAGCUUCUUUUUUAUUUUAAACAGGCUGUGUUCUCAGCCAGAAACAAACAAAGAAAACCAAAGAAUCUGGAAAAAAAAGUGUUGGAAGAAAUGCAAGUUGCCUUGAGCUACCAAACAUGGCAGAAGUUGAAGGAAACUCUACAUGGAAACAGCAACAGAUUACUUCUCUGUUUAACUCCUUUUCUCUGAAAGCCUCUGAAGGUACAUACACAAGUAUGCACACCUCUCCCAAUCCCUCUGUGCAAUUUUAUCUGUAUAUUAUGUACUCAUAGGCUGUUUGAAUAUAGGAAAGUGCAGGAGUCUCACAGUAACCCACUCCGAAACAGUACUAGCUCUUCAUAAAGAGAGAAUAUAGGCUGUAAAUACCAGAGAAGGAGAUAAAGCAUCUCCAUGUGCUCUACUUCUUAUCUUGUUUGCUCCAGUGUGACAAUCAGUCAGGGAGGCAGAAGAGUGCCAGAGGAAGACUUCAGCACAGGCAUUGCCCCUACUGCUUGAACACACAGAGCACCUGAAGCUCAUUACUCAGCAUAUCCAGGGGAUAUGCUACCUGGAAUCUCUUUCCACUUAAUUUGUUGUUAACUCCUGUGAAAAUUGGAAAUAAGGCACAAAUUAAGAGCAGUGACUAGAGCUGCUAGCUGGAAGGAAGGCCUGUCGAACUCCCAUGAAGCCUGAAGUCCAUGGGCAGCCCAGAGGAGAUGGCUGUUGCCCCUUGCAAUGCAUUGUGUCCCUCCCUUGUGUUCCUCUUGUGCUCAGCAAAGAUCCUGAAUGCCUUUCUUUAUCAUGAUAAACACUUGUUUGAGAGGAACUGUCAUCAGAAAGACUGGAAAUGGACACUUUUUCUACCUACCUCAUCAGCCUUGCCCCAGCAGUGGCCUCUGCUGUGCCUCUAUAGAGAGGCUUAAGUUUAACAUUCAGCACAGGAAUGGCAAUAUCUGACUAAGCAGACUUUGUUCUCCUAAGACGAUCCAAAAUGUUUAAAAACAGGUUUGUUAUAAACCAAGCACAAAGUAGAACAGCUAUGACACGGUCUAGUGAUCUAAGUUCAUACUGUCAAUACUUAAGUACAUAGUAAAGCUUCAUAUAGGGCAAAUGUCACCUUUUUCAAGUAGGAAAAUAAAAUUCAUACCAUGGGAGGUUACUGUGCCUCUGCGUGGGGAUUCUCAUUGCUUCUCCAAAGGAAACAGAGAAAAAAUUUUCACAAACAAUAUUCAACCUCAUCUUUCUUAUGUAAAAAAGUCAAUUUUUUGUCUGUUCAAAUAUGUAAAAACUGGCGAAGGAUUCAAGGGCAGUUUCACUUUCUCCUGCCCCCACCUUAAAGUUUAUGGGAAAUGGCAGAAAGCAUUAUCCCUUGAUCUAAUGUAUAUACUCCCUUAUAAAGGAGUAUUGAAAGCGAGAAAAACACAAAAAGAACAAGAACCAGCUGUGCUAGGGAGCCUGUUUAAAGAGUUGGUCUAAGUUUUCAAUCAGUUCUUAACCAAGCCAUCUGUUUACCGCAUGAAGAUACGUACAGUUACAAGGCUUCCCCUGCAAACAGGGAUGCCUGAGUCUGACAACCUGGCCCUUUAAAUUUAAAAUAUCACUUCCUCUCCAUGGCCACUGACCAUGAAUUGUUCUGUUUAAGCAAAAAGGCCAGAAAAAGUACUGCAUGGGAUUCUGAAAAAUAUCAUCUGCCAAGAAGGUCAGCAACACACCUUGGUAAUGGAUUGUUUCCAUAACUGAAGAAAUUACUUCUGCUAAUACUGAAGAAGUUUAAAAAAAA